GAUGAACGCUAGCUACAGGCUUAACACAUGCAAGUCGAGGGGCAGCAUGGUCUUAGCUUGCUAAGGCCGAUGGCGACCGGCGCACGGGUGAGUAACGCGUAUCCAACCUGCCUUACACUCUUGGACAGUCUUCUGAAAGGGAGAUUAAUACAAGAUGUUAUCAUGAGUAAGCAUUUUCGCAUGAUUAAAGGUUUACCGGUGUAAGAUGGGGAUGCGUUCCAUUAGAUAGUAGGCGGGGUAACGGCCCACCUAGUCUUCGAUGGAUAGGGGUUCUGAGAGGAAGGUCCCCCACAUUGGAACUGAGACACGGUCCAAACUCCUACGGGAGGCAGCAGUGAGGAAUAUUGGUCAAUGGACGAGAGUCUGAACCAGCCAAGUAGCGUGAAGGAUGAAGGUUCUAUGGAUUGUAAACUUCUUUUAUACGGGAAUAAACGGAUCCACGCGUGGAUUUUUGCAUGUACCGUAUGAAUAAGGAUCGGCUAACUCCGUGCCAGCAGCCGCGGUAAUACGGAGGAUCCGAGCGUUAUCCGGAUUUAUUGGGUUUAAAGGGAGCGUAGAUGGGUUGUUAAGUCAGUUGUGAAAGUUUGCGGCUCAACCGUAAAAUUGCAAUUGAUACUGGCAGUCUUGAGUACAGUUGAGGUAGGCGGAAUUCGUGGUGUAGCGGUGAAAUGCUUAGAUAUCACGAAGAACUCCGAUUGCGAAGGCAGCUUACUAACCUGUAACUGACAUUGAUGCUCGAAAGUGUGGGUAUCAAACAGGAUUAGAUACCCUGGUAGUCCACACGGUAAACGAGAAAUACUCGCUGUAGGCGAUAUACAGUCUGCGGCCAAGCGAAAGCAUUAAGUAUUCCACCUGGGGAGUACGCCGGCAACGGUGAAACUCAAAGGAAUUGACGGGGGCCCGCACAAGCGGAGGAACAUGUGGUUUAAUUCGAUGAUACGCGAGGAACCUUACCCGGGCUUAAAUUGCAACCGAAUAUGGCGGAAACGCUAUAGCUAGCAAUAGCGGUUGUGAAGGUGCUGCAUGGUUGUCGUCAGCUCGUGCCGUGAGGUGUCGGCUUAAGUGCCAUAACGAGCGCAACCCUUGCCGAUAGUUACUAACAGGUUAUGCUGAGGACUCUGUCGGGACUGCCAUCGUAAGAUGUGAGGAAGGUGGGGAUGACGUCAAAUCAGCACGGCCCUUACGUCCGGGGCUACACACGUGUUACAAUGGGGGGUACAGAGGGCUGCUACCACGCAAGUGGAUGCCAAUCCCAAAAGCCUCUCUCAGUUCGGAUUGAAGUCUGCAACCCGACUUCAUGAAGCUGGAUUCGCCAGUAAUCGCGCAUCAGCCACGGCGCGGUG
rnacentral:rRNA from 1 species